UGGCACUUGACUCCAAGCUGCCCUCUGGACCCAGCACCCCUCAGGGAGGCCGGCUGUCCUCAGGGGGACACGGCAGGAGAAUCGAGCUGGGGGAGUGGCCCAGGAUCCCGGCCCACAGCCGUGGAAGGACUGGCCCUUGGCAGCUCUGCAUCAUCGUCGUCAGAGCCACCGCAGAUUAUCAUCAACCCUGCCCGACAGAAGAUGGUCCAGAAGCUGGCCCUGUACGAGGAUGGGGCCCUGGACAGCCUGCAGCUGCUGUCGUCCAGCUCCCUCCCAGGCUUGGGCCUGGAACAGGACAGGCAGGGGCCCGAAGAAAGUGAUGAAUUUCAGAGCUGAUGUGUUCACCUGGGCAGAUCCCCCAAAUCCGGAAGUCAAAGUUCUCAUGGUCAGAAGUUCUCAUGGUGCACGAGUCCUCAGCACUCUGCCGGCAGUGGGGGUGGGGGCCCAUGCCCGCGGGGGAGAGAAGGAGGUGGCCCUGCUGUUCUAGGCUCUGUGGGCAUAGGCAGGCAGAGUGGAACCCUGCCUCCAUGCCAGCAUCUGGGGGCAAGGAAGGCUGGCAUCAUCCAGUGAGGAGGCUGGCGCAUGUUGGGAGGCUGCUGGCUGCACAGACCCGUGAGGGGAGGAGAGGGGCUGCUGUGCAGGGGUGUGGAGUAGGGAGCUGGCUCCCCUGAGAGCCAUGCAGGGCGUCUGCAGCCCAGGCCUCUGGCAGCAGCUCUUUGCCCAUCUCUUUGGACAGUGGCCACCCUGCACAAUGGGGCCGACGAGGCCUAGGGCCCUCCUACCUGCUUACAAUUUGGAAAAGUGUGGCCGGGUGCGGUGGCUCACGCCUGUAAUCCCAGCACUUUGGGAGGCCAAGGCAGGAGGAUCGCUGGAGCCCAGUAGGUCAAGACCAGCCAGGGCAACAUGAUGAGACCCUGUCUCUGCCAAAAAAUUUUUUAAACUAUUAGCCUGGCGUGGUAGCGCACGCCUGUGGUCCCAGCUGCUGGGGAGGCUGAAGUAGGAGGAUCAUUUAUGCUUGGGAGGUCGAGGCUGCAGUGAGUCAUGAUUGUAUGACUGCACUCCAGCCUGGGUGACAGAGCAAGACCCUGUUUCAAAAAGAAAAACCCUGGGAAAAGUGAAGUAUGGCUGUAAGUCUCAUGGUUCAGUCCUAGCAAGAAGCGAGAAUUCUGAGAUCCUCCAGAAAGUCGAGCAGCACCCACCUCCAACCUCGGGCCAGUGUCUUCAGGCUUUACUGGGGACCUGCGAGCUGGCCUAAUGUGGUGGCCUGCAAGCCAGGCCAUCCCUGGGCGCCACAGACGAGCUCCGAGCCAGGUCAGGCUUCGGAGGCCACAAGCUCAGCCUCAGGCCCAGGCACUGAUUGUGGCAGAGGGGCCACUACCCAAGGUCUAGCUAGGCCCAAGACCUAGUUACCCAGACAGUGAGAAGCCCCUGGAAGGCAGAAAAGUUGGGAGCAUGGCAGACAGGGAAGGGAAACAUUUUCAGGGAAAAGACAUGUAUCACAUGUCUUCAGAAGCAAGUCAGGUUUCAUGUAACCGAGUGUCCUCUUGCGUGUCCAAAAGUAGCCCAGGGCUGUAGCACAGGCUUCACAGUGAUUUUGUGUUCAGCCGUGAGUCACACUACAUGCCCCCGUGAAGCUGGGCAUUGGUGACGUCCAGGUUGUCCUUGAGUAAUAAAAACG
rnacentral:lncRNA from 10 species